CUACGGGACGCACCAGUGGGGAAUAUUGGACAAUGGGGGAAACCCUGAUCCAGCAAUGCCGCGUGUGUGAAGAAGGCCUGCGGGUUGUAAAGCACUUUCGGUUGGGAGGACUGCUUCUAGCACUAAUAUUGUUGGAAGUUGACGUUACCUUCAGAAGAAGCACCGGCUAACUCCGUGCCAGCAGCCGCGGUAAUACGGAGGGUGCAAGCGUGAAUCGGAAUUACUGGGCGUAAAGCGCGCGGAGGCGGCUAGAUCAGUCGGGUGUGAAAGCCCCGGGCUUAACCUGGGAACUGCAUCCGAUACUGUCUAGCUUGAGUACAGGAGAGGAGAGUGGAAUUCCACAUGUAGCGGUGAAAUGCGUAGAUAUGUGGAGGAACACCAAUGGCGAAGGCAGCUCUCUGGCCUGAUACUGACGCUGAGGUGCGAAAGCGUGGGGAGCAAACAGGAUUAGAUACCCCCGUAGUC
rnacentral:rRNA from 1 species